UACGGAGGAUGCGAGCGUUAUCCGGAUUUAUUGGGUUUAAAGGGUGCGUAGGCGGCUUAGUAAGUCAGCGGUGAAAUUUUGCAGCUUAACUGUAACAGUGCCGUUGAUACUGCCAGGCUAGGAAUUGGUUGCUGUGGGUGGAAUGUGUGGUGUAGCGGUGAAAUGCUUAGAUAUCACACAGAAUAUCGAUUGCGAAGGCAGCUCACAAAGCCAAGAUUGACGCUGAGGCACGAAAGUGUGGGGAUCAAACAGGAUUA
rnacentral:rRNA from 1 species